ACUAUUUUGGCAGAUAAGUGCGGUGGAUUUAGAAUCUAUAUAUAUAAUAAUUUAUUAUAAGUAGUA
rnacentral:tRNA from 2 species